rnacentral:rRNA from 1 species
AUGGGCGCCGACACCUGCAGCUUGUGCACAAUGGUCCGUAACCCUCUCCUUCCUGGCACAGGAGGAGCAGGAGCAAGGAUGCCGAGGCGGUUCAGGAUUGCCAUGGGAGCUUUGGAUGGUGGUCUUGGUAUUUCGCACAGUGACAAGAGAUUUGUUCGCUUCAAGAAGGAUAAGAAGCAGCUGGGCGCUGAGAUUCACCGCAAAUACAUCUAUGAAGGUCAUGUUGCUGACUACAUGAAGUCAAUAGCUGAUGAGGAACCUAAGAAGUACCAAUCUCACUUCAGUGAGUACAUCAAGAAGAAUAUUGCGGCCGAUGACAUGGAAGCACUGUACAAGAAGGUUCAUGCUGCUAUUUGUGCUUAUCCUACCAUGGCAAAAUCAACUAAGGAACCUUCAAAGACGCACAAGAGUUAG